rnacentral:rRNA from 1 species
UCCUACGGGAGGCAGCAGUAAGGAAUAUUCCACAAUGAGCGAAAGCUUGAUGGAGCGACACAGAGUGCAGGAUGAAGUCUUUAGGGAUGUAAACUGCUGUUGUAAGGGAAGAAAAAACUAGAUAGGAAAUGAUUUAGUCUUGACGGUACCUUAUUAGAAAGUGACGGCAAACUAUGUGCCAGCAGCCGCGGUAAUACAUAGGUCGCAAGCGUUAUCCGGGAUUAUUGGGCGUAAAGCGUCCGCAGGUUUUUUGUUAAGUUUAAGGUUAAAUGCUAAAGCUCAACUUUAGUUCGCUUUAGAUACUGACAAAAUAGAAUUAUGAAGAGGUUAGCGGAAUUCCUAGUGGAGCGGUGGAAUGCGUAGAUAUUAGGAAGAACACCAAUAGGCGAAGGCAGCUAACUGGUCAUAUAUUGACACUAAUGGACGAAAGCGUGGGGAGCAAACAGGAUUAGAUACCCUGGUAGUCC